AUUGAACGCUGGCGGCAGGCCUAACACAUGCAAGUCGAGCGGAAGAAGGGAGCUUGCUCCUGGAUGCAGCGGCGGACGGGUGAGUGAUGCCUAUGAGUAUGCCUGGUAGUGGGGGAUAACGUCCGGAAACGGGCGCUAAUACCGCAUACGUCCUGAGGGAGAAAGUGGGGGAUCUUCGGACCUCACGCUAUCAGAUGAGCCUAGGUCGGAUUAGCUAGUUGGUGGGGUAAAGGCCUACCAAGGCGACGAUCCGUAACUGGUCUGAGAGGAUGAGCAGUCACACUAGACCUGAAACGCGGUCCAGACUACUACGGGAGGCAGCAGUGGGGAAUAUUAGACAAGGGGCGAAAGCCUGAUCCAGCCCUGCCGCGUGUGUGAAGAAAGUCUUCGGAUUGUAAAGCUCUUCUACUUGUGAGCAAGGGCAGUAAGUUAAUACCUUGCUGUUUUGACGGUACCGAAAGAAUAAGCACCGGCUAACUUCGUG
rnacentral:rRNA from 1 species